rnacentral:other from 1 species
UAUCCAUUAAAACAAGGAUUGAAAC